AUGAGUGGUCCAAAUACUCGGUAUCAACAUCUGCGCAGGUCUUCAGUCCCUGAGCGUAGAGGUAGGGGUAGAGGCAGAGGCCGUGGUCGUGGUCGUGGUUUUGUACCUGUUCUUGAUCCUCCUGUUGGAAUAAAUGUUCCUAACCAACCAAAUAAUUUUCAGCUUUUACCUGCGUAUCAGCCUCGUCUGUUAAUUAAUCCCAAUAUGCAGGACAUGUUCAACUGGAACGUAGAUAACAAUCCUUCCCACAAUCUUGGUAAUCCUUCCCAUGAUCGUGUGCAAAUAAAUGAGGUUUUCGACUGUGAAGUAGGUCAUGCCUUCGAACCUCAGCUUUCUCAGAAUGCCAUGCAACACAAUGUGCAUGUUAGUCCGGCACCAUCUUCUAGGGCUCCCUCACGCAUGAGCCAUGUUCAUUCUGAAGUUCCCCAAGCUGAAACUGCAAUGUCUGAUGGAGUAGGCUCUGUGCUUCAGAGUCUGACCAAUGAGUUGCGAGAGAUGCGGAUCUCUUUGCCGUCAAUCAUCCAAAAUGAGGUUGAGCGUAAGAUCAGUGAAAAUUCGAGUAGAAACAGUGUACGUAUUCCACAGAAUGUCGCUUCACCUGCCCAGUCCUUACGACGCACAUCGAUUGCUAGUGUAGUUUCUCAAGAACCUGCUGGCCGAUCAGUUGGGAGUAAGGUUUAUCGAAGUUCUCUUAAGUUGAAAGAUUUACCAUCGUACAAUGGCACCUUGUACCCAGUACACCCUGUUGAGUUUUUAAAAUCUGUAACCACCUUCUAUGAGUCAUCUAAUUCCCCUGAUAAUGUGAUUUUAAAUGAGAUAGUGCAGAUUCUGAAAGAAAAGGCCCUCACCUGGUACAAUGUUUACAGAAGCAAAGCUUCCACUUUUUCUGAGUUCAGCUCUGAUUUCUUGGAAUUCUUUUGGGGACCUAAAGUUCAGGAUAAUGUUCGCGCUAACUUGUUUACCCCGAAUCAGUACCGUAAAGGGUCUUUAGACAUGUGCUCGUAUUUCCUGAAAUAUAUUCAUAAGGCUCAGUACCUUGAUUAUGCCAUUCCUGAACCUGUAUUGGUUUCAACAAUUUUAAGACAUUUUCCUCCUGGAAUUCGUCGGAAUUUACAUUUGUCCAAUUGUGAUACCAUCAGUGUUGCCUUGGAACAGCUCAGAAUUUUAGAGGCUGAUCCCGAUUUGUCAUCUGAAAUUCCUCUUUUCAGUUCACCUCAGAAUAAACCCACCCAACCAAAUAAUCCGGCUUCGUCAAAAAAGCCUUAUGGAAUGCAUCAGGUAGAUUUUGAUUUUUCAGUGCCUCCGCCUACAAACAACGCUGUAGACGAUGCAACCUCUUUAAACUAA
rnacentral:lncRNA from 1 species